AUUUUAACCUUAUGUGAGAUUGAUCCGAAAGUAGGGAGGCUGAUGCGUUUUCAGUACGUUUUGGCCACCAAGGAUUGACACGAAUCUAGAUUGAUGUUUGGUUGGAGUUGAGAAAAUCUCUGUUCUUACAAAUUUUCACCUAGCUGUUCCGGGCAUAUGGCAAUUGAGUGCGUGGACGAUUGGGAAGCCCAUUUUUCCUCCGGAGCACUUACAUGUUUUCUAGCAAUAUAAGCAUCGAGGUGUUAAUUAACUAGCCAAUAUACAUGUUUUUCCUUUUGUUUCAGGUGUGUGACCACUAUGAGUUCAUAUACGAAAAUGGGGAGGGCCAUGGAUCUGGACAACCACAUUGGACCAAUCGCAGGCAACCAUUGUAAUGUACGUGGAGCAGCAGUGCUUUAUCUUUCAAUAAGCAAACACUCAGGCUUCCAAAUUUAUGUAGUCAUUGCGGCAUAACAAGAAGAUAGCAAAAUGUAACUAUGGAGGCUGGCAGAAUCUCCUUGGGGUGAAGAUGGUUGAACGGUGGUAUAUACUCAGUAUGUCUAGGCAAAAUACACUUAUUAAGAGACGACCACUCCAGUUUUUGCUAAUGUUUGAUCUUUUUUUUGAAGCACAUGACAAUAGGGAUUUUUUGUUUUUUAUAAAUCACAAAGCCCAGGACUCUGGAUCAAGGAUUACAAGAGGUUUAUGGAGGAAAGAAGUGUUUUGAUCUGUUUUGUUGUAUGCAAGACACCUUUUAGUUGUCGGGGUUGUCCUCUAUAUUAUUACCUUGCAGAUUUUGCAUCUA